rnacentral:lncRNA from 1 species
GAUUGGCAUUGCAGUAAAAAUACCUUUUAAUGAUAAUUUUAUAGCGGCAAUUCUUUAAUAGCCAUCAAAAAUUAAAUAUUUAUAUAUCAAUUAUGGUUAUUAAUAAAUGAUCAUAAAAAAUGUACUAUUCUUCUUUAAUUGCCAUUAAAAAUAAUAAAAUUGGUCCAACGCCAAAUCACCUGCGCUGAUAAUUCAGCCUAACAUGGUGCCCCCCACGCCCCAUUUGCUUUCGUAUUCCCUUAAUCCUCACAUUAAUUCUUCCAUUCUCUCCCCACGCCCCGGCCCCCUAUUCUUUCAUAUUCCCCUAAACCUUCCCAAAGCCUCCAUUCUCUUCACUCUGCAGAUCUAUCCGAGGCUCACCAAUGCUCAAAAUAUUUCUUGCAGAGAAAUCAGUGCAGGGGCUUGGUGAUUGGCUUCCUUCCAUCUCCUCCAUUUCUAGGUAUGUUUGUUUCUUUGGAU